GUGAAUAUUUUGUUUUACAGUCCCUAUUUCUUGAUCUGCUCACUGUAUAUUUGAAGGAGCUCAUACUUUUCUUCUACUUAUCAUCAUACUUUACUUGCUUGGGUAAAAAAGAGUAAUAGAUAUACCCUUUCUAUCCCACAUCUUCGUGGUCACAUAUGAAUUUUGAAUGAGAUAUGAUUUAUUUUAGUCUCCAUUUCUAUUGUACGCGGAGUAAAAAUUCUUUAAUUAUCGCUUCGCAAUUUGGUUAAUCAAUAUCUAAUCUGUUUGUCUUAUAUUGAACUUUAUCAAGAAAUGAUCUUCACUUUUUCUACUCGUCAGGCUCAUGCUGCUUUCCCGCGGAUGGUUUAACAUCUUCAUGAGGAUGAUCUUAGUGUGAAGACAAGCUUGCCGAAACACUUUGAAAUCCAUUGCUCCCUUGAUGGAAAUUGAUGGAAUAACUGCUGUUUUCAACAAUCAUUGAUUUAGUUUGGACCAUCAGUAUGUACCCAUUGAUUUGAAUAGUCCUUAAUGGUUAUUCAUGAGAAAUUUAUAUUAAGUUGCCUUCAAUUUUUAGAGGCGACUAUGAAGACUUUCUUCGAGAACUUGCAAGGCAGCUAACUCAAAAUUUUGCUGCCCGAGUAGAUAGGUACAUGACAUCAAUAAUACAGGCAUUUGAUGCUCCUUCGCCAGUUGUCCAGGCAAAUGCGGUUUGUUUAUGCAGCAGCGUGCUCUCUCUCCGAUGAUAUUACUACCAUCAGGUUUUCGGGGAUGCUGGUUGGCAAAAUAAGUCGUUCAACGGAUGCAAUUGUUAGAGCAACUUGUUCUUCAGCUCCAGGCUUGUUGCUCAACUCAUCAAACACAAGCUCAUGGAAAGACAUUUGAUUUGAUCGAGCUGAUUCAUCGCAUAGAGGACAUGAAGCAGAAUCUGCUAGGAGAUCAUGAUUCACGAUUAG